AGAAAUAUGUCUGAUAAAAGAAUUACUUUGAUGGAGUAAAUAAUGGAGGUUACAGUCCUCUUAUUUCUA
rnacentral:tRNA from 1 species